rnacentral:lncRNA from 12 species
UUACGGGGGGGGCGACGCCUCCCCCCCCCGGGGGGGGNNNNNNNNNNNNNNNNNNNNNNNNNNNNNUGCCGCGUCCCCCCGCCCCGCCCCGCCCCGCCCCGCCCGGUGAGCUCAUCCGCAGCUGGCGGGCGCCAGGCCGGUUGCCACGGCAACGCCUCUCCCAGGGCCGCGCGGACUCGAGCGGCUCCGAACAAGCAUGGAGCACUGCAGAACCCUCUUACCCCUCCCUCCUCUUCCUUCAGCAUCCUGUUGAGGAGCGAAGGCUCUGGAGCAGACUGCUUUGCCCCUCUCAGGAUCUCCAUCCAGAAGGAGCACAAAAGUAUUCAGAGUUCAGCAGAAGGGAUACCCUGAUACUCCUGAUACAGGAGUAGUCCUGUAUCAGAGUUGAGCUUCCCCCCACCUCUUUUAGGGCCACAGCACAGAGUCUGCUUCUUCUCACCUAUAAACCAAGUGAAGGAUGACCCAGGGCUGGAAAAAAGCUAGCCUGAAGCCGGAGAGAGAGACUGACCAGGAACCUCCCUCGAAUUGUUUAACUUCCCUUCAAAUUCCCUUCGGCUGGCUCAGUCAGUGAAGCAUCUGCUUUGGGCUCAGGUCAUGAUCCCACGUUCCUGGGAUCGAGUUCUGCAUCAGGCUCCCUGCUCGGCGGGGUGUCUGCUUCUCCCUCUCCCUCUGCCCCUCCUUGUGCUCAUGCUCUCUCUCUCAAAUAAAUAAAUAAAAUCUUUAAAAAAAGAUCUGGGC